CAGUCGCCACGGUAAUACGAAGGGGGCUAGCGUUGUUCGGAUUUACUGGGCGUAAAGCGCACGUAGGCGGGCUUUUAAGUCAGGGGUGAAAUCCCGGGGCUCAACCCCGGAACUGCCUUUGAUACUGGAAGUCUUGAGUAUGGAAGAGGUGAGUGGAAUUCCGAGUGUAGAGGUGAAAUUCGUAGAUAUUCGGAGGAACACCAGUGGCGAAGGCGGCUCACUGGUCCAUUACUGACGCUGAGGUGCGAAAGCGUGGGGAGCAAACAGGAUUAGAUACCCGCGUAGUCCCUGUCUCUUAUAC
rnacentral:rRNA from 1 species